GCACCGAUGGUGUAGCGGUAACACACACACUAUUGUUCAAUGUUUGAUAUAGUGGAUUUAUGUGUGGAUCCGGGGUUCGAAUCCCGUCGGUGCA